AGUGAACGCUGGCGGUAGGCCUAACACAUGCAAGUCGAACGGCAGCACAGGAGAGCUUGCUCUCUGGGUGGCGAGUGGCGGACGGGUGAGGAAUACAUCGGAAUCUACUUUUUCGUGGGGGAUAACGUAGGGAAACUUACGCUAAUACCGCAUACGACCUACGGGUGAAAGCAGGGGACAUUCGGGCCUUGCGCGAUUGAAUGAGCCGAUGUCGGCUUAGCUAGUUGGCGGGGUAAAGGCCAACCAAGGCGACGAUCCGUAGCUGGUCUGAGAGGAUGAUCAGCCACACUGGAACUGAGACCCGGUCCAGACUCCUACGGGAGGCAGCAGUGGGGAAUAUUGGACAAUGGGCGCAAGCCUGAUCCAGCCAUACCGCGUGGGUGAAGAAGGCCUUCGGGUUGUAAAGCCCUUUUGUUGGGAAAGAAAUCCAGCUGGCUAAUACCCGGUUGGGAUGACGGUACCCAAAGAAUAAGCACCGGCUAACUUCGUGCCAGCAGCCGCCGUAA
rnacentral:rRNA from 1 species